rnacentral:tRNA from 1 species
GGGGUUGUAGCGCAGCCUGGUUAGCGCACCUCCCUGUCAAGGAGGGGGUCACGGGUUCGAAUCCCGUCAGCCCCG